AAAGUAUCGUUUAUUUGAUAGUACCUUACUACUUGGAUAACCGUGGUAAUUCUAGAGCUAAUACAUGCUAAAAACCCCGACUUCGGAAGGGGUGUAUUUAUUAGAUUAAAAACCAAUGCCCUUCGGGGCUCCUUGGUGAUUCAUGAUAACUUCGCGAAUCGCAUGGCCUUGCGCCGGCGAUGGUUCAUUCAAAUUUCUUCCCUAUCAACUUUCGAUGUUUGGGUAUUGGCCAAACAUGGUUGCAACGGGUAACGGAGGGUUAGGGCUCGACCCCGGAGAAGGAGCCUGAGAAACGGCUACUACAUCCAAGGAAGGCAGCAGGCGCGCAAAUUACCCAAUCCCGACACGGGGAGGUAGUGACAAUAAAUACUGAUACAGGGCUCUUUAGGGUCUUGUAAUUGGAAUGAGUACAAUUUAAAUCCCUUAACGAGGAACAAUUGGAGGGCAAGUCUGGUGCCAGCAGCCGCGGUAAUUCCAGCUCCAAUAGCGUAUAUUAAAGUUGUUGUGGUUAAAAAGCUCGUAGUUGAACCUUGGGCCUGGCUGGCCGGUCCGCCUCACCGCGUGCACUGGUCCGGCCGGGCCUUUCCCUCUGUGGAACCCCAUGCCCUUCACUGGGCGUGGCGGGGAAACAGGACUUUUACUUUGAAAAAAUUAGAGUGCUCAAGGCAGGCCUAUGCUCGAAUACAUUAGCAUGGAAUAAUAAAAUAGGACGCGCGGUUCUAUUUUGUUGGUUUCUAGGACCGCCGUAAUGAUUAAUAGGGACAGUCGGGGGCAUCAGUAUUCAAUUGUCAGAGGUGAAAUUCUUGGAUUUAUUGAAGACUAACUACUGCGAAAGCAUUUGCCAAGGAUGUUUUCAUUAAUC
rnacentral:rRNA from 1 species